rnacentral:rRNA from 1 species
AUUGAACGCUGGCGGCAUGCCUUACACAUGCAAGUCGAACGGCAGCACGGGUGCUUGCACCUGGUGGCGAGUGGCGAACGGGUGAGUAAUACAUCGGAACGUACCUUAUUGUGGGGGAUAACGCAGCGAAAGCUGUGCUAAUACCGCAUAAUCCCUAAGGGGGAAAGCGGGGGACCGUAAGGCCUCGCGCAAUUAGAGCGGCCGAUACCUGAUUAGCUAGUUGGUGAGGUAAAGGCUCACCAAGGCAACGAUGAGUAGCUGGUCUGAGAGGACGAUCAGCCACACGGGGAGUGGGACACGGCCCAGACUCCUACGGGAGGCAGCAGUGGGGAAUUUUGGACAAUGGGGGCAACCCUGAUCCAGCAAGGCCGCGUGAGUGAAGAAGGCCUUCGGGUUGUAAAGCUCUUUUGUCAGGGAAGAAACAGCAGCUCUAACACAGUUUGCGAAUGACGGUACCUGAAGAAUAAGCACCGGCUAACUACGUGCCAGCCGCCGCCGUAA